GCUCCUUGGCAUGGUCCCUUGAGGAUGCCCUGUGUGCCCCGCGAGAGCACUGCACCACCCCCUCAGCAGGCAGUUGGUUCCUCAUCUGCUAGUAGCGUCGUGCUGGCCGGAGCCUCGGGCCACGGUCCUUCCCGUUGGGCUGCAGGAGGACGGAUGGACGGACACCCCUCCACCCCCAACUUGCCUGACAACGCCUGUCUGUGCCAGAGAAGCAUCCUGGGACAGGCCGUGGUGCUGUCAUCCGCCUGCCUGCUGUUACAGUGGCAAGAUGGAAAAGCAAACCUGUGGAAGACACGGUUCCAGGAGCACCCUGCCGGAGAACUCCCGAUGGUGCCUGCAACUCUGCCUUUGCCCCGAGGGUGUCCCACCCCCCAGUGACUGAGCUGCCUGCCUGGACGCCGGACCACUUGGGCUCAGCGUUGGCCAGCAGACCACUGCAGAGAGAUGGAUUGGAAGUGGAGAAGCCAGGACUUGAAUUGGCAUCCAUAUGGGAUGCUGGCACUGCAGACAGCAGCUUUACCCACUACGCCACAGCACCAGACCAAGUUCCAGAUCAUGCUGGUACGUCUAAGUGGAGCGGAGAAUAUCGGUGCUCAUGAGGGACAUCUUGAUGGAAAACGUGACUCUGCUCUGAGGAAGGCUGCAAGUCUACUGAUCUCAGCAUCAUCAUUCUACUGAUGCUUCCAGGAUACUACAGUCGAAAAACAAACAAAAAACAGGCAUGAGAAAUGAUGACUAAGGAGUACUCUAAGAUGUCUUGCAGCAAUCCUGCAGCUGUCGUCUUCUGAAUUCACACGCACUGUUCUUAUUCCCCCAGUAUAGAUGUGUGAUCAUAUUCCCAAAAUGUUGCCAACCAGGUAAGCUUCCUCAGGUUGCAGUAGAGUAAACACAGGAUGUUCAUAUGACUGUUUUUAACUCCAUACUUUCUAAUCAUUCUACAGGGCAAACUGACAUAGUUUGGCUAGUAUCCCAGUGAAAACCCACACUCAACACAUACCUCAUUGUUAGCAUGAAGCCAUAUUGUGAUCACAACUUCUGCUAUUCAGAGACAUUCUGAUUAGACUCAACAUUACAAGUGUUAAAGUUUACCUGUCAGGAGCAGGUCCAGGGCCCAUCAUCAAUCUUGG